rnacentral:rRNA from 1 species
UACAGAGGUCCCGAGCGUUGUUCGGAUUCACUGGGCGUAAAGGGUGCGUAGGUGGCGAUGAAAGUUCGAUGUGAAAUCUCCGGGCUUAACCCGGAAAAGGCAUUGAAACUAUGUUGCUUGAGGUUUGGAGGGGGACUGGAAUUCUUGGUGUAGCAGUGAAAUGCGUAGAUAUCAAGAGGAACACCAGUGGCGAAGGCGGUCCUGGACAACACCUGACACUGAGGCACGAAGCUAGGGAGCAACAGG